AGGGUUUGAUCCUGGCUCAGAACGAACGCUCGCGGCGUAGAUUAGGUAUGCAAGUCGAACGGGAACUGUGCGAUGGAUCCUUCGGGUGAAGUUGUGCAGGGAACGUGGCGAAUGGGUGAGUAACAUGGAUUACCUGCCCUCGAGAUUGGGAUAAUCCACCGAAAGGUGGGGUAAUACCAAAUGACAUGGCAUUUCUUCGGGUUUGCCGUCAAAGGUGGCGUAAGCUACCGCUUGAGGAGGGGUUCAUCUCCUAUUAGCUAGUUGGUGAGGUAACGGCCCAUCAAGGCAUAGAUGGGUAGGGGGCCUGAGAGGGUGUUCCCCCACACCGGGACUGAGACACUGCCCGGGUUCCUACGGGAAGCUGCAAUCGAGAAUCCUCCGCAAUGGGCGAAAGCCUGACGGGGUGACGCCGCGUGGACGAUGAAGGCCUUUUUAGGUCGUAAAGUCCUAACAGGGAGUAGGAAACGUAUCCUGUUGAAUAAGCAGGGUAUUUGACUUAAAUCCCAAAUGAAGUCACGGCUAAAUCCGUGCCAGCAGCCGCGGUAAUACGGAUGUGGCUAGCGUUGUUCGGAAUCACUGGGCUUAAAGAGCACGUAGGCGGUGCGGCAAGUUGGUUGUGAAAUCCCCCGGCUCAACUGGGGAAUAGCAGCCAAUACUACCGCACUAGAGGUCGGGAGGGGAGAGCGGAAUUCUAGGUGUAGCGGUGGAAUGCGAAGAUAUCUAGGGGAAGGCCGGUAGCGAAAGCGGCUCUCUGGUCCGAUUCUGACGCUGAGGUGCGAAAGCGUAGGGAGCAAACGGGAUUAGAUACCCCGGUAGUCUACGCAGUAAACGAUGGGUACUAGGUGGUGGAAGCGCCGAUAGCUUUCUCCGCCGAAGCAAAAGCGUUAAGUACCCCGCCUGGGGAGUACGGCCGCAAGGUUAAAACUCAAAGGAAUUGACGGGGGCCCACACAAGCGGUGGAGGAUGCGGCUUAAUUCGAGACACGCGUAGAACCUUACCAAGGCUUGACAUGCAGGGAUUAUCCCAUCGAAAGGUGGGGGAUUGCCACACGGUGUAACCUGCACAGGUGCUGCAUGGCUGUCGACAGCUCGUGUCGUGAGAUGUUAGGUUAAGUCCUGUAACGAGCGAAACCCUUGUGUUUAGUUGCCAACGCGUUAUGGCGGGGACUCUAAACAGACUGCCCCGGCCAACGGGGAGGAAGGUGGGGAUGACGUCAAGUCAGCAUGGCCCUUAUGCCUUGGGCUGCACGCGUCCUACAAUGGGGUGUACAAAGAGUCCCGAAACCGCGAGGUCAAGGAAAUCUCUAAAAACACCCCCCAGUUCAGAUUGCAGGCUGCAACUCGUCUGCAUGAAGUUGGAAUCGCUAGUAAUCGCCGGUCAGCUACACGGCGGUGAAUACGUCCCUGGGCCUUGUACACACCGCCCGUCAAGCCACCCGAGUUGGGUGCACUCGAAGUCCGAGACCUAACCCGCAAGGGAGGGAUCGUCCGAAGGUGAACCCGAUGAGGUGGACUAAGUCGUAACAAGGUA
rnacentral:rRNA from 1 species